rnacentral:sRNA from 2 species
UUUGCUUGGCGCGUUCAACCCCUGUUUUGUGCGAUUUGAAUACGUUUUACCAAUAAACUUAACACCAUAGGACCCUUUCACCGUGGAACACUUUGUUUUGCCUUUCCCGAUUCUGAUAAGCCCACCCCAUCCCUUAAUUGCUUAAUUAUACAACAAAAGAAAGCGUGAGAAGUGAGAGUGGAAGAGAGGUUCUAAAAACACAACCCCUAUUAUUCGCAGGCGAGGGCUUCGUGUAAAGCGUUCUCUAAUACAUAUAACAAAUCAAAAGUAAAGGGCCAAUAGGACGGCGGCGGCCAAUGAAAUGGGCCCCUGGUUGCCAAUAGAGCUUUUUUUGAAGUCAUGAACAGAGUGAAAAUAGAACGCAUUUUGUUUUUUUUCCACUUCUUGUCAGUUGUUUUGAUGUUAUCCUAUUACCCUUCGUUACCUGCGACUAGCUAUACAUUUAUGGAUUAGACAAAAACACGCUAGGAAGUCAACUAUCACUGCUGUUCUCUUUAGAGGAGCCCAAAUAUACUUCUCCAAUGUUGCUGAGGUUGGAUGGCAAGCAGAUCAAACAGCAUCUUUAUAAUCUAAAAAACAAUUACGUCGUGCUUUCCAAGGUAUCGUCAAGAAUUACUUCACUUUUCUCC